GCUUGCUUCGGCCACACAUACACUAAAAUUGGAACGAUACAGAGAAGAUUAGCAUGGCCCCUGUGCAAGAGUGAUGUGCAAAUUUGUGAAGCGUUCCAUGUUAAA